GACAGAGGGUGCAAACGUUGCUCGGAAUCACUGGGCGUAAAGGGCGUGUAGGCGGGACAGUAAGUCGGGCGUGAAAUCCCUGGGCUCAACCCAGGAACUGCACUCGAAACUACUAUUCUUGAGUGUCGGAGAGGAAAGCGGAAUUCCAGGUGUAGCGGUGAAAUGCGUAGAUAUCUGGAGGAACACCGGUGGCGAAGGCGGCAUUCUGGACCACAACUGACACUGAGAGACGAAAGCCAGGGGAGCAAACGGG
rnacentral:rRNA from 1 species